CAGCCGCCGCGGUAAUACGAAGGGUGCAAGCGUUACUCGGAAUUACUGGGCGUAAAGCGUGCGUAGGCGGUGAGUUAAGUCUGCUGUGAAAUCCCCGGGCUCAACCUGGGAAUGGCAGUGGAUACUGGCUCGCUAGAGUGUGUCAGAGGAUGGUGGAAUUCCCGGUGUAGCGGUGAAAUGCGUAGAGAUCGGGAGGAACAUCAGUGGCGAAGGCGGCCAUCUGGGACAACACUGACGCUGAGGCACGAAAGCGUGGGGAGCAAACAGGAUUAGAUACCCGAGUAGUCCCUGUCUCUUAUAC
rnacentral:rRNA from 1 species